rnacentral:rRNA from 1 species
UACAUGGGGUGCAAACGUUGCUCGGAAUUAUUGGGCGUAAAGCGCGCGUAGGCGGUUACUCAAGUCGGAUGUGAAAGCCCUCGGCUUAACUGAGGAAGUGCACCCGAAACUGAGUAGCUAGAGUACUAAAGAGGGUCGCGGAAUUCCCGGUGUAGAGGUGAAAUUCGUAGAUAUCGGGAGGAACACCUGCGGUGUAGACGGCUUACUGGACCAUAACUGACGCUGAGGCACGAAAGCGUGGGUAGCAAACAGG